AGCAAUAUCUGGACGGGGUUAACGGGUGAUCAGCAAUGUCUGUGGCCUAGAUCCGCAAUCUUCAUUGCACUUUGAAGAGUGCUGAUUUAUCAUCUGCCCAAAUAAUAGAAUGGACGUCAUAAUUUGUGAAAUAUGCAUAGAGUGAAUUCAUGUUUGAA